UGGAGAUUGCAGUGAGCUGAGCAGGCACCACUGCACUGUAGCCUGUGUGACAGAGCGAGACUUCAUCUCAAAAAAAAGAAAAAUUUUAUGUGUUCUUUUUAAUAUGUAAUUAGUGAAAUGUAGCCUUUAAUCAGGAGAGACGCUGGAAGCAUGAUGGCAGCAGUGUAGUUUUCACUCUCUUGUCAUGCCAGCAUACAGACAGAGCAACCAGAUGGCAAAAUCAAAACCCAUGGACAACAUUUACGCUAAUGCAACACUUCUGACGUCAGAUUCUUCAGUGGAUAUCACCUGGGUGUCCUCCAAUUCAAUUCUGAUGCUGCCUGGAAAUACUACUAUUAGAGGGCUCAGUACCACAAGACUGCCCUCACUUCAGAUGCCAAUUGUAAGUCCCAGAUUGUGACCUACACUUCUGACCAGCCAGCUAUAAAUCAAUUACCCCCUCCUUGGGUUCAAUUAAUUUGUUAAAGCAACUCCUAGAAUUUAGGGAAACACUACUUAUAUUUACCCAUUUAUUAUCGAGGGUAUUACAAAGGAUACAGAUGAAUAGCAGAAGGAAGAGAUGCAUUAAGUGAGGUGUGGGGGAAGGGAUGCAGAGCUUCCAUGCCCUCUCUAGGCAUGCCACCUUCUAGGAAUCUCCCUGUGUUCAACUACCUGGAAGCUCAUCCAAAGACAGUUCUUUUGGGCUUUUAUGGAAACUUCAUUAUGUAGGCAUGAUUGGUUAUAUAAUUGGCCAUUGGUGAUCAAGUUAGCCUUUUGCCCUUCUCCCCUCCCCAGAGUUUAUGGUGGGUCUGCAAGUCUCAAUCCUCUAAUCAUGCUUUGGUCUUUCUUGUGACCAGCCCCCAUCCUGAGGCUAUCUAGGGGCCACCAGUCAUCAUCAUCUCAUUAGUAUAAAAAGUCACUCAUCGCUCUGGAGAUUCCAAGGCUCUUAGGAACUCUGCGCUGGGAAAUCGGGAAUGUAUUAGACUGUUCUUGCACUGCUGUAAAGAAAUACCUGAG